UACGAAGGACCCGAGCGUUAUCCGGAUUUAUUGGGUUUAAAGGGUGCGUAGGCGGAUUUACAAGUCAGGUGUGAAAGCCCCGAGCUUAACUUGGGAAUUGCGCUUGUGACUGGCGUGCUGGAGUGUGGCAGAGGGAGGUGGAAUUCCACGUGUAGCAGUGAAAUGCGUAGAGAUGUGGAGGAACACCGAUGGCGAAGGCAGCCUCCUGGGCCAGCACUGACGCUCAUGCACGAAAGCGUGGGGAGCAAACAGG
rnacentral:rRNA from 1 species